UUAACGCUUCAUACAAGACUCAGAACUCGACGUUUUCAGCGAAGGAUUUGGAAUGUUCGUUUGAAGUUUAAAGAAUAUAUCAAGUGUUGUAACCAAUCCAAAUCUAAAGCAUGACGUUUGACAUAAGAGCGCAUUACUAUAAAAUAUGGACAUUUGGUGUGGCUCUUUUGCUAAUUGCCGUCAUUGUAUUUUGCAUAUGGGGAAGACCAAGAUACAUGGAAUACGGAAUGAGUGUUGUUUUGAUCUUUGUGAUUAGUUUAAAUGCCAUCCUCAUACUAACAAUAACGGAUACAAGUCCAUUAGUCUACUGGUGCAAAAAUUUUUUCGCCAUCUGGUUGCUUGCAGUUGGGGCUCUCUUAGCUUAUAUGGUUCAUCAAUAGAUGGAAGAAAACUUCAAAAGGACGCAUGGCAUUUUGUAGUUGGCUUUAAAAUUUCGCGACUCUCGGUCACUAACUCACUCACGCGUAACGUGGGACUGCAUAAAUUUCAACUUUUUUAAUUCACAAUAUACUUCUUUCAUAAUACGAACAAACACUUUAAUUGUAAAUAACGAUUUGUAUUGUUGUCAAUUUUUAUUGUAAUGAACUUGUAUUGAAGUAAUUUUGAUUGUUGUCAACAUGUCUUGUUGCCAACUUA